rnacentral:rRNA from 1 species
CCUACGGGAGGCAGCAGUGAGGAAUAUUGGUCAAUGGUCGUGAGACUGAACCAGCCAAGCCGCGUGAGGGAUGAAGGUACUGAGUAUCGUAAACCUCUUUUGUCAGGGAACAAAGGCGGGGACGUGUCCCCGGAUGAAUGUACCCGAAGAAUAAGCAUCGGCUAACUCCGUGCCAGCAGCCGCGGUAAUACGGAGGAUGCGAGCGUUAUCCGGAUUUAUUGGGUUUAAAGGGUGUGCAGGCGGAGGUGCAAGUCAGCGGUAAAAUUGCGGGGCUCAACCCCGAAGUGCCGUUGAAACUGGGUGGCUUGAGUGUGCGAGAGGCAGGCGGAAUGCGUGGUGUAGCGGUGAAAUGCAUAGAUAUCACGCAGAACUCCGAUUGCGAAGGCAGCAUACC